AAAAACUUGAAAUGUAUAAAUUUUCACUGUAACAUAAAGACAAAAAAAAAGAAAGGACUGGAUAUUUCGAGAAAACGGAAAUUCGUCGAAGAAUCCCGGGAGAAGCGAAUAGCCCGGCGGACUAGUGAAUCGACCAAGCGAUAGAGGGAUGAUAGCAAGAGGAAGAAUGGGGAGAGAAGGGAGCACAGGAAAAUGGAGGGAGGGAAGAAGAAAUGGGAAGGGGACAGAUAGGAGAACGAAAGAAGGGAAGAGCGCGCAACUGUGGCGCAAAGAGAAAGAGGAAGAGAGAGAGAUACCUACCAAAAAAUGGAGCAACGCUGAGACAACAGAGGAAGUGUAAGAACGUACAAUAAUGUUCGCGCUUUAACACACUAAAAUGUAUGACACUAGUGAAAUUAAACCGAUUUGUUCAAAGUAGCACACAA
rnacentral:lncRNA from 1 species